UGCCAGCAGCCGCGGUAAUACGGAGGGUGCAAGCGUUGCUCGGAAUCACUGGGCGUAAAGCGUACGCAGGCGGCUCAUUAAGUCGGGUGUGAAAGCCCGGGGCUCAACCCCGGAAUUGCGCCCGAUACUGGUGAGCUUGAGUACGGGAGAGGGAUAGCGGAAUUCCUGGUGUAGAGGUGAAAUUCGUAGAUAUCAGGAGGAACACCAGUGGCGAAAGCGGCUUCCUGGCCCGAUACUGACGCUCAUGUACGAAAGCGUGGGGAGCAAACAGGAUUAGAUA
rnacentral:rRNA from 1 species